GGGUAGGGUGGCCGAGUAGGCGGCAGGCUGUAGUCCUGUUUACGGGGCAGGCGCCCCCCCAAUCUA
rnacentral:tRNA from 1 species